GUGAACGCUGGCGGUAGGCCUAACACAUGCAAGUCGAACGGCAGCACAGUAAGAGCUUGCUCUUACGGGUGGCGAGUGGCGGACGGGUGUGGAAUACAUCGGAAUCUACUUUUUCGUGGGGGAUAACGUAGGGAAACUUACGCUAAUACCGCAUACGACCUACGGGUGAAAGCAGGGGAUCUUCGGACCUUGCGCGAUUGAAUGAGCCGAUGUCGGAUUAGCUAGUUGGCGGGGUAAAGGCCCACCAAGGCGACGAUCCGUAGCUGGUCUGAGAGGAUGAUCAGCCACACUGGAACUGAGACACGGUCCAGACUCCUACGGGAGGCAGCAGUGGGGAAUAUUGGACAAUGGGCGCAAGCCUGAUCCAGCCAUACCGCGUGGGUGAAGAAGGCCUUCGGGUUGUAAAGCCCUUUUGUUGGGAAAGAAAAGCAGCAGGUUAAUACCCCGCUGUUCUGACGGUACCCAAAGAAUAAGCACCGGCUAACUUCGUG
rnacentral:rRNA from 1 species